GAUGAACGCUGGCGGCGCGCCUAACACAUGCAAGUCGAACGAUUAAAGCACUUUCGGGUGUGUAUAAAGUGGCGAACGGCUGAGUAACACGUGGGCAACCUGCCCCUUUCAUUGGGAUAGCCACGGGAAACCGUGGAUAAUACCGAAUACUUCGAGACUUCCGCAUGGAAGACUCGAGAAAGCUCCGGCGGAGAGGGAUGGGCCCGCGGCCUGUUAGCUUGUUGGUGGGGUAACGGCCUACCAAGGCAAUGAUGGGUAGCUGGGUUGAGAGACCGACCAGGGAGAUGGGGAGUGAGAGGCGGCCGAGACCCGGAGGGGGGGAGGCGGUGGGAUUUCUGGCACAAGGGGAGAAGGCGGGCGGCGGCGCCCCGGCGGGGGGGGUAAAGACCUGGGGUUUGAAAACGGCUUGCGGCGGGGGGGGGCGGAAGGUGAGGGGCCCGAAAAAAAGGCCCCGGGGAAACCCGGGC
rnacentral:rRNA from 1 species